UGCGUAGGCGGCCCGGAAAGUUGGGUGUGAAAGCCCUCGGCUCAACCGAGGAAUUGCGCCCAAAACUACCGGGCUCGAGGGAGACAGAGGUGAGCGGAACUUAGGGUGGAGCGGUGAAAUGCGUUGAUAUCCUAAGGAACACCAGGAGCGAAAGCGGCUCACUGGGUCUCUUCUGACGCUGAGGCACGAAAGCUAGGGGAGCGAACGGGAUUAGAUACCCCGGUAGUCCUAGCCGUAAACGAUGAGCACUGGGUUGGAGGGUCCUCCAUAGCCUUCUAGCCGUAGCGAAAGUGUUAAGUGCUCCGCCUGGGGAGUAUGGUCGCAAGGCUGAA
rnacentral:rRNA from 1 species